rnacentral:lncRNA from 1 species
GAGGACAACUGAGAUUUAAGCGGCGAUGACGACAGCGAAUGAAGUGAAGAGAACGGGAGGAACUAAACAGACGCACGUGACGGAGUCAACUUCGAUGGGUUUUGUGUGGUUGUAAAAGGUUGGGUUUUUGCAAUCGGUGUUCCUAAUUUUGGCCUGUCUAGUAUGGUGAUUAAGGGUUUUAUGGAUGGAUAAUGACAGAGGAGACGGCGGCACCGGCG